rnacentral:rRNA from 1 species
UACGGGGGGGGCAAGCGUUGUUCGGAAUUACUGGGCGUAAAGCGUGCGCAGGCGGUUUUGUAAGCCAGAUGUGAAAUCCCCGGGCUUAACCUGGGAAUGGCAUUUGGGACUGCAAGGCUCGAGUGCGGCAGAGGAGACUGGAAUUCCUGGUGUAGCAGUGAAAUGCGUAGAUAUCAGGAGGAACACCGAUGGCGAAGGCAGGUCUCUGGGCUGACACUGACGCUCAUGCACGAAAGCGUGGGGAGCAAACAGG